AUAGAGUAGGGGAGCCAGCUAAAAAUACGUGGUGAAUAGAAAAGACGAGAUGGCCAGAGAGAAUCAAGGGAGAGUGGAGCGGAUAGUGAUUCUCUUCUCUGAUUUCUCUUCUCUGAUUGAUUCCGCCAUCUAAUGCACUAAGCACUUCCGCGAAUAUGCAUGUGUGUAUAUGUAUAUGUAUGUCAUACACACAAUACUAGUGCGGUACAAUACUAGUGUACGCAGCACCAUGUUUCAUCACAUUCCUACCAUAUUUCCAACGGUGCACAUGGCGGCUUCCGGGUGCAACCGCUCCACUCUCCUUUGAUUCUCUCUGGCCAUCCCGUAUUCUUUCCUUUUCUACUGUCUAAUAUUUUCAUUUACAGGGACCCCUAUGCCUUGCCUAUAUAUACAAGCUCUUUGCUUUUAACAUACAAACUGAUGUCCACAUUUAGGAUUGUCUUGAGACCUAGAUAACAGAGAUGAGACAUAGAACGGUAUGAUCUAAUUGGCUGUCUGAAUCACGUGAUCAGAGCGCCAUUUUAAUUCACUAUUGCAUCUAAUGCAUCAAGAUACAACUUUGUAUUGUACAUACAUAUAGAUUAUGUACAGAAAAAUUAAGACAAUACAAAGUGCAAUAGAAAACUAUUAUUAUGGUAAAGUGCUGUGUAUUUGGCUGUAAAAAUGUAUACAAAAAAGGGAAACACCAAAAAGAAGAAAAUUCAUUCCUUUUGUUUCGUUAUUUCCUAAUAAAUUCUGAGAUAA